AGCCAGGUCCUCCCCUUUUGGUGCUGGGUAGGGCAGCCCUCUCUCUCUCCCUUAUAUAUUGUUUUCUUCCAAUCUCCAACUCUCCUCCCUCUCCUUCCCUUCUCUUCUCUCUCCCUCUCGGCUCUCCCUUCCUCCCAGCUCCCUCUCUUACGCUCCUUUCUCUCUAAUUCUCUCCUAUCUUCUCUUUUCUCUCACUCUUGGCCUCCCCUUCUCUUCCUUUCUUCCUUUUCCCCUUACUUCUCUCCUCUCCCUUGCUGCUAGCUUAAAGCUUCAUUGUUGUCAUACCCAGUGCUACUAUCUCCCAUAGUUGUUGCUACGUGUGGCUGCCAAGGAUCUGAGACUCCUCACUUGUUGUUUGCAAGCCCAAAAAUUCGAAGUUGUUGUUGUGUUUCCAUGAAGACCCAAGCCGAUUGCUACUAUCCUGCCAUAGCCGAAGUUGCUAUGCUACCCAUGGAUUUGGCUACUGCUGCUGGAGACCACGGCUGUAGCUGUUAAGGAAGACUUGAGCACCUACGCUGUUGUGUGCUUUGUGGACUACUGCUAUAUGGCUAAAUGGAUCCAGGGAACAGUAACACGAGUACGAGAGGUGAUGGAGCAGGACCUUCCAGUAUGGGUGGCGGAGACCCUGAUGCAGUAUUACGUAGCAUCACCCAGCAAGUUUUGGUUGAGAUGGGUAGGAGCUCGAGGGAGCAAAGCUGCAGGAUCGAGCAGUGCACGUGUAUGCGACCCCCAUCUUUUGCUAGAUGGGCGGACCCACUAGUAGCUGAAAACCGGGUCCAGGACAUAGAGGAUAUAUUGGCAGUCCUCUCGUGUACAGAUCCUCUCGUGUACAGAUGAGCAGAGGGUGUUAUUUGCCACAUUUAAAUUGACUAAGAAAGCAAAGCACUAGUGGAGGUUGGUGAGAUUAUUGGAGGAGCAGAGGCUUGACCCUGUGGCAAUGAUGUGGAGUCGCUUCAGAGAGAUCUUCUUUGAGCGGUACUUCUCUACUAUGGUCAGGAGUGCAAAGGUAUUAGAGUUUCUGUAUCUGACAUAGGGGCUUAUGACGGUGCAGUAGUAUACAACGACAUUCAUUUCCAUUUAAAUUACUCAAUUAUUCCAAUUAAUUUUUUUAAAAAUAAAUAAUAAUAAAAAUUCAUUUCCAUUUAAGUUAAUGAAGUGUAAACCACGGGAAAAAAUUAUUAGAUUAAUAAAGACAAUGUCACCCACACAAAUAUUUGUUAUACUAGAACAAAAAAAAUUAUAUUAAUUAAACAUAUGGUCUUCAAAUAACUUAUUAAUUCAAUUGUUUAUAGCCGUUAUAAAGAUAUUAAUUCAAUUAUUAUUAGUAGUUAAAAAAUUAAAUUAUAAAUUUCAAAAUAUAGGAAAUUAAGAUUAGGCUAAUGCUUUGCCUACUCCCUAUGAAGCCUAAUGGGCUUCAUAGCGUGGCAGCGUAACACAAAGAUAAUUAAAUCAUUCUUGAGACCUUGAUUAACAACUAUAUUUUCUUUUUGAUAAAUUUGUUUCUUGAUUAAAUGCAUGAAACAGGGGAAAAAAAAAAAAAAGUAGAACCCAUUAAUGUUAUCUCCUAACAAUAAGACAUUCAAACAAACAACUAGCACUUCGACUUUUUUGAACAUUAAAGGCAACUUUGCAUUAAAGGCAACUUGAAAACAUCUUAAGAUAUCAACCAUACAAAAAAGUCGCUUAAUUUACGAUAGUGCAGCUCCAACUAUAUAUAUAGUGGCCUUAUGAUUUUAACUAGUCACCACACUCCUAGAUAGCCAAUCGAGCUACAUGUCUUAUGGUCAUGGAUAUAAGUACUUAGAACAUAAGGCUAACAUACAGUAGCAAUGCUUUAUUCUAGUUUAAACACCGAAAUUACACAGCUAUACUUUUGGCUAAUGGGGCGGAUGACCAAUGCCUGGGCUCGGGCCCGGUGUUGUAGGCGGAUGUUUGGCUAAUGUUUCAGAGUGGAGAAUAAAGUUUGUGGCAGUACGAUCUUUCCCCAUUUCAUUCCAAUAGUUGCCAACGUUCUCUAUCUUCAUGAAUUGCCUCCCUUCAGAAGACAUGAUUCCAUGAUGAAUCAAAACUAGUAUAACAAGGAAAGCACAACUGAUGGAAGGAAACUUGAUUUUGGCCAUGAUCUGGGUUGGGUUAGCUAGAGAGAAGUAGUGAUAGGUAGAAUAGCCCUUCAACUCUUACUGCUUUGAGGAU